rnacentral:rRNA from 1 species
UACGUAGGGUGCGAGCGUUGUCCGGAUUUAUUGGGCGUAAAGAGCUCGUAGGCGGCUUGUCGCGUCGACUGUGAAAACCCGAGGCUCAACUUCGGGCUUGCAGUCGAUACGGGCAGGCUAGAGUUCGGUAGGGGAGACUGGAAUUCCUGGUGUAGCGGUGAAAUUCGUAGAUAUCGGGAGGAACACCAGUGGCGAAGGCGGCGACCUGGACAGAUAUUGACGCUGAGGUGCGAAAGCGUGGGGAGCAAACAGGG